rnacentral:sRNA from 2 species
GUCGCGCAAGCGCCGUAGGCAGGAGCGGGGGACCCAAGGUAAGUGCCGCACCGGGCAGUUGAACCGGAGCGGCUUGGGGUGAAGCCGUGUCUCGCACGAGGGAUCGCGAGGGACACGGCAGGGCAACUCAACCGGCCCGAACCCGACAGCUCACCUCGCAGGCGUCGGUGAGGGGAUCA